rnacentral:misc_RNA from 1 species
GAUGAAGAACGCAGCGAAAUGCGAUAAGUAGUGUGAAUUGCAGAAUUCAGUGAAUCAUCGAAUCUUUGAACGCACAUUGCGCCCCUUGGUAUUCCAUGGGGCAUGCCUGUUCGAGCGUCAUUUGUACCUUCAAGCUCUGCUUGGUGUUGGGUGUUUGUCUCGCCUCUGCGUGUAGACUCGCCUCAAAACAAUUGGCAGCCGGCGUAUUGAUUUCGGAGCGCAGUACAUCUCGCGCUUUGCACUCAUAACGACGACGUCCAAAAGUACAUUUUUACACCCUUGACCUCGGAUCAGGUAGGGAUACCCGCUGAACUUAAGCAUAUCAAUAAGCGGAGGA